rnacentral:rRNA from 1 species
AUGUAUGAUAACUACAGAAAUCCUCAUCCUCCUGGGAUGCAGAUCCCCCCACCAAAUCCACAGCCUGGCCCAUACGACAAUCCAUUGUACGGCGCAAGCUCAGGUCUGAUUAAGACUGGGUUAGGAGUGUAUGGGGAGAAGUUCCUCGGCUCCAGUUCAGAGUUCAUGCAGAGCAAUAUCAGUAGAUAUUUCUCCAAUCCACAGUACUACUUCCAUGUGAAUGAUCAGUAUGUCAGGAACAAGUUGAAAGUCAUACUGUUCCCGUUCCUUCAUAGGGGGCACUGGACUCGGAUAAGUGAACCUGUGGGUGGCCGGUUGUCGUACAAACCUCCAAUGUAUGAUAUAAAUGCGCCAGAUUUGUACAUCCCUUUCAUGGCGUUUGGUAGCUUCAUUAUCCUCGCGGGCUUCACAUUAGGCUUCAUGGGAAAGUUCACUCCAGAAGCUAUCAAUCUCCAGUUCACAAGAGGACUAAUCGGAUGGGCGGGGUAUCUGUUCGCUGGGCUAUCCCUGGCCAUCGUCGCCCGGCUCCUAUGGUCCUACUCGUACUACGUGAUGAUGCCGUGGAUGAGCAUGUGCAUGGGGAUCUUCCUGGUGAGGACGAUGAAGCGGGUGAUCUUCACAGAGAUGCGGGGCAGCGAGAGGCACUCGACGCGUCAGCACUACUUCCUGCUCUUCAUGGCCAUCGUGCAGUUCCCCCUCUUCUUCUGGCUCGGUAGCAUAGGCGCAUGA